UAUAACUUUCCAUAUGUACAUCCAGACCUUUUGACCAUAUUAAAGGGUCUACUAUAUUAUACUACUCUACUCUACUGUUACCAUGGUUACUAUUAUUUAAUAAAAUACAACAAUGAAGCAAGGA